CUGACAGUUGUAUUCUGUACUUUAGAAAAGUGACUUUGGGAAUAAUUUUUCAUUUCUAGGGGCAUUUUCAUUUGCUUCAGUGUUUAUUUAUAGUAUCAGUAACUCUAUUAUUUAUCAUUAAGAAAGUUUGUCUGCAUGUCACUGAAGACUAACUGCUGUGCCUUGACGGAAAAUAUUGAAGAACCCGCUUCUCGAAUUUCUGUUCCCCAUGUAGGUACUUAAGGAUUGCUCAAGUCACCCCUUAAUUUUCUCAUUCAGAAACUGAACACAUUAAGCUCCUGGAGUAUACCACUAUAAAAAGAGCAGAGGAUGCCUGCAGGAUUACUGUUGAUCACCUCAGGCUUGGCAGACCAGCAGGAAACUUCACCCAGUUUUCUACCCAGCAGGAAGACUACAUUUCAUACUGUGGCAACUACCAUGUUUAACUCUGAGCUAAUUGUUCUGUGUGAAAAUAGCUACUAGUACUAGAAGUGAAGUAAUAAAGGCUGUUCAACACUCCCUAUA